ensembl:snRNA U1 U1 spliceosomal RNA
AUACUUAGCUGGUGGGGGAGAUACUAUGACCAUGAAGGUGGCUUUCCCAGGGUGAGGCUUAUCCAUUGCACUCCAGAUAUGCUGACCCCUGUGAUGUCCCCCAUGUGGAAACUCGACUACAUAAUUUGUGGCAGUGGGGAGACUGUGUCACAAUUCCACA